UGACCUAUGGAUAGGAGUUAUGUGUUCUGGUUCUUCCUUAUUUAUGUGAAUAUUUGGUUGAGAAAUAUCUAUUUAUUUUUUUUGAAUUUCAUUAAUUUCAAUAUUUCUCCCACUGCCUCUUUCUAGGAUAAAUUCUUUCUCCAUGAAAGUGGCAUGCCUACUUACAAAUAUCUUUUGUUCAGUAGGGUGGUAGAAUAGAUAUCCUAUACUAUCCUUAGGAUAUCCUGCAAACAAACAUUUAUCUGCUCUAGCAUCUAGCUUAUGUCCAAAAUUUUUUUUGACAUAUGCUGAACAUCCCC
rnacentral:lncRNA from 1 species